GUUCCGGUGGCCUCAUCUGUUAGAGCUUCCGCCUCGGAUGCGGAAGGUCGCAAGUUCGAACCCCGGCCGAUUCA